CUCACAUACUUGGCCAGCUAUGGCUUCGCCUCCAGUUAAAAAAAAAACAACAAAUUGCUUGUGAAAUAAAAUAUUCUCACAUAAUCCGAAACAACGUUGAAAAAAGUUGCAUUACGGAUUUAACGGUGGGACAUGGGAGCAAGAAUGAUGUUUGUUGCAUAGCACGAGAGAUCACAAAAAAUCCAAAAAGACAGGCCCAAUUUACGUUAUGAAGAUGCAACAGAUUCAGAAGAUGAAUGCCGCAAAAAUACUUUUCUGUCAACUACACCAAGGGUUAAAUUACCAGUAACAUCUAGAAUGAGUAUGCUGCCAUCGCCAUUUGCAAAUCAAUGAUGUGGAAUCAAUGCCAAACAACUUUCGCCCUUUGAAUGUAAAGUACUCACUUUGCUAGUAGAAGUAAAAGAUGAAAUGAAGCAGCACAAGGCCAUUUUACAUGAGCUGCAGGCCAAAGCCGGUGUGACACACACCAGAUCACUGUCACCAGAUGUUCACCUGCCUAUUGUGUUACUUGAACAGCUUCAUAACAUUGAGAAGUGCUUGGAUGAACAAAUGAAAAAUAAUUUGCUGGCUCAUCUGUCCCUAAUGGGUGGUCACUGUUUGGAUGAGACCAUUCGCCACACGCUGCAAGCAGUGCUGAUGAAUAGAGUGGCAUGCAAACUGAAUUGGGCUGGUCAUGGCACCAAGCAAAGUUUUCAGCAGACCAAGCUUCAGGAAGUCAUGUUUUGUAUGUUAUCAUUUUUACAUGUUUAAACUAUUUGUUUGCCAAUCAUUGUUUGUUAGUCUUUUUAUAGUUCACCAGGAUCAAGAUGCUUUAAAACUGUUAAAUUUAUCAAUUAGCUAUAAGACUUUAAAGCAGAAAAUUGAUUUUGACUGGAUCUUCUAUUUAGGACAGUUUUUGGCCUUGCUUCCGGUAGAAACUAAGGCUUAUGAAAUCAUUCUGCCUGUGUGUGCAUGUCGGUUUCUGUUCCCCUUACCUUUUCAUCUUGCAGGCAGAUUUCAAUUAAAUUUGGCAGAAUCCCAUAAAUUACAACAGGUACACAAUUUACUGCCUUUAUAACUGAGACCGUGUGUAUAUCCAUAGACACCAAAGAAUUGCGAUGUCAAUUAACAAGUCAUCCUAAACCCACCCAUAGGAAACUAUAGGCUUUAUUAGUUCGGGUCCUGCCCUGAACUGUUUGCUUUUUGUUUGUUUCUUCUGAUUACAAAUAGAAUAUGGGGUUUGCUUUGUGUUUUCAGGAGCUUUGAGAAUAAGUAAUUUGGGCAAAGAUGCAGCACAAGCCAUGUUUGGAGAUGUCAUUAAGUAAUGGCUAAGAUAUGCACCAGAUAGAGAAGGGGAACAGGUCGCCAAAGACACACCAGCAAUAAUUUUUUAGAAUAGUUCUCUCAAUAGUUGUUUUCUAAACCUUUUAACAAGUCACUUAAUUGUUCUGUGCAAGCUGCUGUAUAAACU